rnacentral:rRNA from 1 species
UACGGGGGGGAGCAAGCGUUGUUCGGAUUUACUGGGCGUAAAGGGCGCGUAGGCGGCCACCGCAAGUCGGUUGUGAAAUCUCUGGGCUUAACCCAGAAAGGUCAACCGAUACUGCGGGGCUAGAGUGCAGAAGGGGCAACUGGAAUUCUCGGUGUAGCGGUGAAAUGCGUAGAUAUCGAGAGGAACACCUGCGGCGAAGGCGGGUUGCUGGGCUGACACUGACGCUGAAGCGCGAAAGCGUGGGGAGCAAACAGG